ACCCCAUGUCAUUCUGUGAAUGCUCCAGGGUGAUAAAGAUACUCUGAAUUCCAAACCCCCUAAAUGCAUUUUCCUCUAAUUGAUAUUAUUCAGAGAUGUUAUCUCUAGUGAUAGAGUGCAGAAAUCAGACUGAGUUACUUAAUUCCCUUUCUAUGAAAUACCAUUUUCCAUUUCUUCAGAAGACAGAGACACCCCUGACUGAUAAGAAAAGAACGAAGAGAUGCCAGCGAACAUACAUUGUAUUACUUAGCUCAGGAGGUGUUUUCCCAGGGAAUGGCAAGCUGCACCACGGUGUCUGACAAAGCUUACCUCGUGAGCAGGAAUGGCAAAUGCUACAGGUAGUGGAUGUUGGCCACCACGUGUCACAACACGCUGGAAACAUUUCAUGACUAUUUUGACAAGAACAAUUUAAAGCAACCUAAUAAUCUACAGCAACGCUAAAAUAUUUAGGAACCGAGGAGUGGAAAGAAAUCCAGACCCGGUUUCUCCACGUGCAUCAAGUGUAUCCAAGCCUCUUAUUCCUUUCAUGAUUCUGUGAUUCUUAUGCCUACAUUAUUAUGCCUACAACAAUCCAACAUUAGCAGUGGAUAGAAGUAUUGAGGAGGUAUCAGGAUUUUGGGACAUUCCCUCUCCAGUGACUUUUACAUGUCCACCUUCCCUCUUAACACCUCUAAAGCCAAGGAUGAAUGCCACCAAGAUGGGCAACCUGAACUACUCCAGAAUCAAUGUAUAAAUAGGGAAGUCUUGACAUAAUUAUUUUGGGAGUUGUUUAUUUUGACUAACAUCUGUACACUUUGAUGCUUCCUCUUGGAAAUAAAUACUUGGAGUGGAGGGGGAAAGGGAACAAGGAGAAAAAUCCAUUCUGACCCUCGGUUGGCCUUUUGACGAUAGGUGUUAUAUUGAUUCCCCCCCCCAAACAUCAGCAAGCACAAGUCAGUGUCAUCCCUUCAAGCAUGAUGUUAUUUAAAACGCCUACGCACACUGGUAGGCUCCAAAGUCACUUUGAAAAUGAGUAGGUGGCAACAUCAUUAAGCUAUAAAAUGGCAUUUUAAAAAUAACUG